rnacentral:rRNA from 1 species
CGAACGGGUGAGUAACACGUGGGCAACCUGCCCAAAAGAGGGGGAUAACACUUGGAAACAGGUGCUAAUACCGCAUAACCAUAGUUACCGCAUGGUAACUAUGUAAAAGGUGGCUAUACUACCGCUUUUGGAUGGGCCCGCGGCGCAUUAGCUAGUUGGUAGGGUAAAGGCUUACCAAGGCAAUGAUGCGUAGCCGAAUUGAGAGGUUGAUCGGCCACAUUGGGACUGAGACACGGCCCAAACUCCUACGGAAGGCAGCAG